rnacentral:tRNA from 1 species
GCACUCGUGGCCGAAGAGUUAGGCACGCGGCUGCAACCCGCGUCACCCCGGUGCGACUCCGGGCGAGUGCUCCA